AAAAAGUUUCUGCUUACUCACUGAUUGUAGCGUGCAGUGACUCCUUCGUGCUGCCCAUACUUCUCCCCCCUCGUGGCUUGAUUCUGUUUCCUUAUCCCUCAGCCCCUCCCCUCUCAGCUCUUGUCACUCAGUACUCGCAGGGCUGGAUUACCCACAACCACCUUGUUUUAGGGGCCCAGUUUCCAGAAACUUUGCGCGCUCCUCCCGCAAGUAAGACAACCUUGGCACACGUGGAUGAUGCAGUUGAACUGGCCAUUUCUGGAUGUGGCUGCCUGGCUCUUCCACUGCCUGGCAAGUGCAGGUUCGUGGUAUGAAUCAUCUAAAAUGAGGAAAAGUCGACACCAGAAACCAAUAUUUUAGAACAAAAUAUGCAGUAUGUUAAGAAAUUGUCAAGACAAUGAAAACAAUACCCAAGGAAGGAAACUGCAUGAAUCAUUGCACGUUUAACUGCAUCUGAAACAUGUCCUUGCUGUGUUAUCUACUGUGUUAUCCAUGCAAGACACUAUUUUAUUUUCAUUUUCUCUGACAAACUAUGGUUAUGAUAUGCAAACUGCAGUACAGAGUUCAUAUUAAAGGACAAUGA